UACGUAGGGGGCUAGGCGUUGUCCGGAAUCAUUGGGCGUAAAGAGCGUGUAGGCGGUCCGGUAAGUCCGCUGUGAAAGUCGGGGGCUCAACCCUCGAAUGCCGGUGGAUACUGUCGGGCUAGAGUGCGGAAGAGGCGAGUGGAAUUCCUGGUGUAGCGGUGAAAUGCGCAGAUAUCAGGAGGAACACCUAUUGCGAAGGCAGCUCGCUGGGACGUAACUGACGCUGAGACGCGAAAGCGUGGGGAGCAAACAGG
rnacentral:rRNA from 1 species